rnacentral:misc_RNA from 1 species
GAAAUGCGAUAAGUAGUGUGAAUUGCAGAAUUCAGUGAAUCAUCGAAUCUUUGAACGCACAUUGCGCCCCUCGGUAUUCCGUGGGGCAUGCCUGUUCGAGCGUCAUCUACACCCUCAAGCUCUGCUUGGUGUUGGGCGUCUGUCCCGCCUUCGCGCGUGGACUCGCCCCAAAUGCAUUGGCAGCGGUCCUUGCCCCCUCCCGCGCAGCACAUUGCGCUUCUCGAGGCUGCGGCGGCCCGCAGGCCCUGAAAACCAGUGGCGGGCUCGCUGUCACACCGAGCGUAGUAGCAAUCACCUCGCUCAGGGCGUGCUGCGGGUUCCGGCCGUUAAACAGCCUUACAAAACCCAAGGUUGACCUCGGAUCAGGUAGGAAGACCCGCUGAACUUAAGC